GCGGUGCCCUCCAGAUGCGUGGAACUGUAGUUCUCAUCAUCCCCAGCUAGUGUGUCCAUUGACUUCCCCAAAACGGUGCUGCUGCUCUUUCCUGGGCACAACUUUCUAAUAGUAUAUGCAAAGGGCUGUCCCAACGGAAAGACAAACUAAUGGGCCCAACAGUUUCCUUGCCUGAGCAGACAAAUCUCACCUGGAAUGCAUCUCACCCGGAAUGCUGAGUUCCUCUGGUUCAGUUCUCGAGCAAGUUGGCAAAGACCACAGAGUGGACAGCAACUCAUGACCAUCCAGUCUUCCAGGAUGGAACCCUGGGUAGAAAAGAAAGCCAGGCUGAAAUGGGAGAAGGCGGAGUGCUUGCUCAGCCCCAGAAAACAGGAUCGGCGUGGAACUGCUUCACCGAGUCCAGUCCUCUCUUUGUAGAGCUGCCACCUCUCUGAAAGGCUGAUCUGUCCACUUCUAGUUUAAGGAUAAAGAAUCAUCAGGACAGUGGCUCCUCCAUGAUUUGCUGUAGUAAGUGAAAAGCCAGGCACAGCAGUGGGAAAACACAGGAAUGUCCUGGGGGAAGAGGACACCCUUUCCCUGCUCUGCUUAACAAUGCAGUGAAUGGAUCAAAGCCUCACCUGGAAGCAUCCCAGGGGAUCUGUGUGCUUGUCCGCUCAGUCCGCAGUCCAGGCCAGGGGCACACGCUUAUGGGGAAGUGCAAGGCCUCUGUGGCUCAUGACCUUUCUUCCAAACUGAACGCAACAGUCCUUCGAGCAGAGGAAAAGGAUAACAGGAGCGACUAGUCCUGAUGUCUACAAGCUACUUCCAGUAUCAGAGACUGUUGCUGGGGAGCAGGGCGGCAAGAGGCCGAUGCUUUUCCGUCCAACUCGCAAGCCGGACCUUGGUCUGACCCUGCACAGCUUUCCUGAUGUUCUUCGAAUACCUUUUUACAGAGGACUAAUUGUUUUUCAAACAGAGGACUGUCCUCUGUCUCAUGGCGCACAUGGCCACCCUACUGACUAUUUUCAGAGCCUGGAAAUGUCCCUGGAGGGGCCAUAGCUGCAAAUCUUUCCUCCUGCUCUAACCGCUAUUCCCUAUGCCACAGCAAGAACUGAUUCCAGGAAUUUAGACUCCUGGCGCUCUGGAAUGAUAGGUGACCAGGUGAGAAGAGUGUGGUGAACCGGGUAGGAAAAACAGCCUGCGGCCUGAAUCAAAGCAAAGUCUUAGUGACCGGCAGUAGGACCUGUUGAGCUGGUAUUGUGUCUCCUAUUUUAGUUUUGGCUGUGUCCUUUCUGCCUUUUGCCCUCUGCAACAUGGUGCCAGAAAGCUCUUCUGAAACGGAAUUUGGCUCUGAGGGUCAACGCAGUUCUGCACCGAAGAGGUCCCCACUUCCUCUGUUGUAAUCAGGUGCCUGCCAGGGGUGGAAGGCAUAGGUUACAUUCAGACAGCACAAUAACUUAUACUCAAAGGUUCAGUGUGGGUUGUGGCUUCUCUGAACCUAGC